rnacentral:rRNA from 1 species
GUGCCAGCCGCCGCGGUAAUACGGAGGGUGCAAGCGUUAUUCGGAUUUAUUGGGCGUAAAGGGCGUGUAGGUGGUCUGAUAAGUCAGGUGUGAAAGCCCCUGGCUCAACCAGGGAAGUGCAUUUGAAACUAUCAGACUUGAGUACGGGAGGGGGAAGUGGAAUUCCUGGUGUAGAGGUGAAAUUCGUAGAUAUCAGGAGGAAUACCGGUGGCGAAGGCGACUUCCUGGACCGAUACUGACACUGAGACGCGAAAGCGUGGGGAGCAAACAGGAUUAGAUACCCUGGUAGUCCACGCCGUAAACGAUGGGCACUAGGUGUAGCGGGUAUUGACCCCUGCUGUGCCGAAGCUAACGCAUUAAGUGCCCCGCCUGGGGAGUACGACCGCAAGGUUAAAACUUAAAUGAAUUGACGGGG